rnacentral:rRNA from 1 species
AAGGCCUUCGGGUUGUAAACCGCUUUUGUCAGGGAAGAAAUCCUUUGAGAUAAUACCUCGGGGGGAUGACGGUACCUGAAGAAUAAGCACCGGCUAAACUACGUGC